CUCCAUAGAACAAGAUGGCGGAGUAGCUCCUUAGAGGACAGAUGCUAUUACUGGUCUCUUUAAGAGUUCUACAGACUAGGUUUCUAGUACUCUGUCCAUGAGCACAUAAACUUCCACCACUGGCAUCGAUUAGCUUUUAGCAAACAUUUUCUCAGAUGGUGUAUUAAGAAGAGCAAAUACAAAACAUUCUUCUUCAAAAAAAUCCUGAAGCAUACUCUCCCACAAAUGGACACAGAUCUAUAGAAAGAAUGGGCUUAGGUUUGGAAGACAAAGGUUCUCAAACACAUAGCAAAAGGGGCUUCUCCAUGCAGAAGAAGAAUAGAUUGAAGAAGUAGGGAAACCAGCCCUGGUUAGGAUGUUAUGGGACAUCUCCAAUCAGGCUACCCUGAUUGUAAUAGAGAAAGUAACCAUAAAAGUCAUGAUCCAUUUGAUAGGAUGAGUUAUCACGACCAAGACAGACCAGAG
rnacentral:lncRNA from 1 species